rnacentral:lncRNA from 1 species
AUAGGGUAUCGCGGCCGGUCCCUGACUCCCUCCCUGUGUCUCCCCUCCCUCCUCCCCCACAGGUGUGGUCCCCCAGAGCGCCCCCCCGGUGCCCACCGCCUCGUCCCGCUUCCACUUCCCCCCGCUGGACAGCCACUCCCCCCCGGGCGACGGGCGGCCCGGCCGCUACCCGGUGGUCCCCGACCCCCCGGCCGACGGCGGCGACCGCAAGGCGGAGCUCCCCGAGCUGGAGGACGGGCCGGCCGACUGGCCCCGCCGCCGCCGCGGCGCCGCGGACUUCCUGACGGGACGGGGCGCCGGGGCCCCCGCGCCCGCCGCGCCCCCGAAGCGCAAGCCGGACCUGGUGGUCCCGCUGUUCGCCCGGCCGGGGCUCUACGCCGACGCCGCCAGCCCCUUCGCCGUGUCGCCGCUGCCCGGCCGGGGGGCGGCCGGCGUGCUCAACGUGCCCGUCUCGCCCGCCCUGUCGCUGACGCCCACCCUCUUCUCCUACAGCCCCUCGCCCGGCCUGAGCCCCUUCGCGGCCGGCGGCGGGAGCUGCUUCUCCUUCAACCCCGAGGAGAUGAAACAUUACUUGCACGCCCAGGCCUGCUCGGUGUUCAACUACCACCUGAGCCCGCGGACCUUCCCCCGCUACCCGGGCCUGGGCCUGCCGGGCCCGCCCUCGCUGCCCCCGCCGCCCCCGCCCCCGGCCCCGGCCCCGCCCUGCCGCGGGGCCCCCGACGAGCCGGCCCCCUUCCCCAUCAAGCUGCAGCCCCCGCCCGCCGGGCGCAGGCACCGCGACAGGGCCGAGGAGCCCGCGGCGGGGGCCGCCCCCGCGCCCCCCAGGAUCAAGGCCGAGCCCGACGGGGAGCCCGCCGCCCCGGCCCGGGAGGAGGGGGCGGCCGACGGGGAGGGGGCCGGCCGCGCGGAGGCGGCGGCGGCGGCCCCCCCGGCCCGGCCCCCCGCGCCCGAGGUCCCGGAGCCCCCCGAGGCGGGCGAGCCGGAAGCCCCCGAGAAGAAGGAGGACGCCUCCAUGCCGCCCAAGCUGCGGCUGAAACGGCGCUGGAACGGCGAGCGCGAGGUCCCCUGGAACCCCGCCGGCCCCCCGGUCCUCCUGGCCGGCCCCCAGGGGGCCGCGGACGCCUAGGACCCCCCCCCCCCCCCCCCCCGGCCCGUGGAUUGUCGCGGCGGGGGGGCGGGGACCGCGCCCCGCUCCGUCUACGUAGAACAGACCUCUUGUCUUGGGGUUGGGGGGGUGGGGAGGGUGGGGGAGGAGGGGGGAGACUCCUUAUUUUAUUGGUGGGUUUGUUUUUUUUUUAA